rnacentral:misc_RNA from 1 species
AAAUAACAUUCGUGAAUUUUUUCGCGGAUUUGAGUUUUCCAGUAUUCAUAAUAUAAAAAAAUGUUGGUAACUUUAAAAUCAUUAUUACUUGGUACAAGUUGAAAACGUGCUAUAUUGAUGGUUCGCUGACAACUUGUCCACCUUUAUAUAUUAUGCGCGCACUUAGUUUUACGCUCUGUGCGAGUAUAUAUUUUU